CAAUAUUUUACAAACAGAAAAGGAAAAGCAAACUAAAACAACAAAACUAGCAACUCAGACAACAAGCCCAAAGUGAAAAGCUAAGAUUAGGAAAGUGCAGACUGGUAGCUCAUCAAUCAGAUCUAACACUUCCAGUAUCCAAUUCAUGAAUCUCAGAAAUCACUGGAACUGAUGAAAGGUUCUCCUUCUGGAUGGGAUUAUUUUGUGCAGUUGAUCCAUGUCUGGCCAUCCAUAGGAAAAUUUCCCCACCACAGUAUGUUGCAGAUUCUGCAGAAUUUCCAUGCGAGACACUUCAUUCUCCGUCCACUUGACAUAUGAAGAUCCAUGUAGAAAGGAGAUCUUCUUCAUUUCAAUAGGUUGAACUGCAUGUUUUGGAUUCUGAAUAGUUGUAUUUAGAUGCGAAGGUUUCAAAAGACUAGCAUAUUGAAUUUUGUUCUCAUUAUGAGUCACCCCCUCCUUUAGUGUAGUCGUAGUGAUUUGCUGGUCAAUCUCUCCGGUGGACUAACCAGCAGCCACGGAGGCCAUAGGCGAUUAGGUUGAAAAAAUUAAGUUUUGCAUGAAAAUAGGAGGUGAGAGAAGAGAGAAAUUUUGGUAAAUUUCUUGGUAAGUUUAUUCGAUUCUCUCACAAAAUAUGAC